UUAAAAGUGUUAGCGGUGUGAGAUGGUUUUCGCUUUAGAUUAGUUUGGUUGGUGGAGGUAACGGCUUCCCCAAGGCAACGGUGGAUAGGGGGACUGAGAGGUUUAUCCCCCACACUGGUUAUGAGACACGGACCAGAUUCUUACGGGAGGCAGCAGUGAGGAAUAUUGGUCAAUGAGCGAAAGCUUGAACCAGCCAAGUCGCGUGAAGGAUGAAUGUCCUAAGGAUUGUAAACUUCUUUUAUACAGGAAUAAUAGUUGCCACGUGUGGCGGCCUGCAUGUACUGUAUGAAUAAGGAUCGGCUAACUCCGUGCCAGCAGCCGCGGUAAUACGGAGGAUCCGAGCGUUAUCCGGAUUUAUUGGGUUUAAAGGGUGCGCAGGCGGGAGAUUAAGUCGGCGGUGAAAUUUUGCGGCUCAACCGUAAAAGUGCCUUCGAAACUGGUUUUCUUGAGUGUAGAUGAAGUAGGCGGAAUUUGUGGUGUAGCGGUGAAAUGCAUAGAUAUCACGAGGAACUCCGAUUGCGCAGGCAGCUUACUAAACUACAACUGACGCUCAUGCACGAAGGCGUGGGGAUCAAACAGGAUUAGAUACCCUGGUAGUCCACGCAGUAAACGAUGAUUACUAGUUGUUUGCGAUACACAGUAAGCGACUGAGCGAAAGC
rnacentral:rRNA from 1 species